rnacentral:misc_RNA from 1 species
AAGUCGUAACAAGGUUUCCGUAGGUGAACCUGCGGAAGGAUCAUUAUUGAAUUCAUCUACCGGGUUGUUGCUGGUUCCUUUUGGUUCAAGUGCACGCUUGGUUCUUGAUCUCUUUCCACCUGUGCACUUUUGUAGGCUAGUCUACGUCUUGGUUGAUUGUCUGUUGCUCAAUAUCUUGCUUUUGUGAGACGUUGGAUUGGAGGAGUGAGCUUCUUAGUUCUUCCUCUAGGACUUUCAGCUGAGCAUGAUUAGCUCUACGUUUUUUACAAACCCAUUUGUAUGUCUAGAAAGUCCAUUACUGGUCGGAAGACCUUUAAUCUUUACACAACUAUUGACAACGGAUCUCUUGGCUCAC